rnacentral:rRNA from 1 species
GACCAUGCCUAAUACAUGCAAGUCGAGCGAACAGAAAAGAGAGCUUGCUCCUUUGACGUCAGCGGCGGACGGGUGAGUAACACGUGGGCAACCUACCUUAUAGUUUGGGAUAACUCCGGGAAACCGGGGCUAAUACCGAAUAAUACUAUAUNUUACUUCAUAGGUAAAAUAACUAGAAAGACGGUNUAUACGGCUAGUACGCUAAUAAAGAUAGGGCCACAGCGGGCGACCAUAUAGCUAAGCUAGGUGAGUGUAAACGGAUCAACCAAGGCGANNGAUGACAGUAGUCCGAANCUGAGAGGGUGA